UGGACACGGAACAGUCCUUGCCCUUGCAGGUGGAUCUGUGCCUCCCCUGGAGGCUCUGAUUUGCCCUGGAUUGGCGGAGAGAGAAGAUGCCAGGGAAGCCACAAAGCCUCCACUUGCUCCUUUUUUUGCCAAGUACCCUGGAGUGAGUGCAGUAACCCUGAGGAUGGAGAAGGCCUUGGGAUGAGGCCAAGAGACCUGGGGAAAGCAUUUUGCAGAAUGGCACUUGUGUGGAAAGAAUGCUGCUGUGCAACCCACCUGGGUGCUUGGCACAUCCUAGGUUUUUUCCAUCUCUUGUCACAUCAGAACCCCCUGGCAUCCUCAGGUCCAGAGGGACUUUGAGAACAAGGAUUCCCAGUGAGACAGGCAAGCUCUAUUUUAGGAACCCUGGAAAAGCAAGCUCUUCUUCAUGAGGAACCGCUUUGGAACCGCUUUGUCUUGAAAGUCAAUGUGUCUCGCAAGAGGUGUCUGUGGACAUGGCAGCCAGGGAAAGGUGCUGGGAAGGAGCUGCUCAGAAAUCCAGAAGCAGCGGUGGAUUGGGAGCUGGGGGUCCUGCCUCGGUCCCACCCUCCUGGACACUCUGUGUCAAGGGAGCUGGCAAAAAAAGAGAGAGCCACUAGGAAGCGAAGCUGCCCGAAGGCCUUUUCCCAGGCCAGGGUUCCCGCUUUUCUCUCUGACUCCUGGAUAAUUGCUUGAGCGUAAAAUAUUGUUUAAAAUAUAAAGAAACACAAAUUUUUAAAAAUCAAUACAAAAAUAAGAAAGUAUAAUUAAUAAAAAGUGAACUGUAAAAUACGAAAAAUAAUAUCCGCAAUAUAAAUAAAUACAAUCUGUAUUAUGACAUGCUAUGUGUAUUAUAAUA